rnacentral:tRNA from 1 species
GGAGUAUAGCUCAGUUGGUUCAGAGCGUCUGCCUUACAAGCAGAAGGUCAUUGGUUCGAACCCAAUUACUCCC